GUUAAACAUAAAGAGCGUAGGGUGAAUGCCUAGGCACUGAGAGCCGAUGAAAGACGUAACAAGCUGCGAAAAGCUACGGGGAGGAGCAAAUAUCCAUUGAUCCGUAGAUGUCUGAAUGGGGAAACCCACUUAAGAAGACCUUAAGUAUCUGUAUGUAAAUACAUAGCAUACAGAGGGGAACCCGGUGAACUGAAACAUCUAAGUAGCCGGAGGAAAAGAAAGAAAAAUCGAUUCUGCGAGUAGCGGCGAGCGAAAGUGGAAGAGCCUAAACCGUAGUGCGUGCAUUACGGGGUUAAGGACUGCGUUAAGUACUGAUGAGAUUACCGGAAUAGUUUUGGAAAAGCUAGCAAAAAAGCGUGAGAGCCGUGUACGGGAAAGUUAAGUCAGACAAGCAGAAUCCAAAGUACCACGAAACACGAGAAACUUUGUGGGAAGUCGGGGGGACCACCCUCCAAGGCUAAAUACUACUCAGUGAGCGAUAGAGAAUAGUACUGUGAAGGAAAGGUGAAAAGAACCCCGGGAGGGGAGUGAAAGAGAACCUGAAACCCUAUGUUUACAAACUGUGGAACACCGUCAAGGUGGACCGCGUACUUUUUGUAGAACGGUCCGGCGAGUUGCACUUACUGGCAAGGUUAAGCACUAAAGGUGUGGAGCCGAAGGGAAACCAAGUCUAAAGAGGGCGAAAGUCAGUGGGAGCAGACCCGAAACCGGGUGAUCUAUCCAUGUCCAGGUUGAAGUUUCCGUAAAAGGAAAUGGAGGACCGAACCCACAUCCGUUGAAAAGGGUGGGGAUGAGGUGUGGAUAGGGGAGAAAUUCCAAUCGAACCCGGAGAUAGCUGGUUCUCCUCGAAAUAGUUUUAGGACUAGCCUCGUAAGAGUCUUAUGGAGGUAGGGCACUGAAUUCCUGAGGGGGCGUCAAAGCCUACCAAUGGAUAUCAAACUGCGAAUGCCAUGAAGAUGAUUUACGGGAGUCAGACUACACGAGAUAAGUUGGGUAGUCGAAAGGGAAAGAGCCCAGACCUACAGCUAAGGUCCCAAAGUAUGUGUUAAGUGGAAAAGGAUGUGGGAUUUCAUAGACAACUAGGAUGUUGGCUUAGAAGCAGCCACACAUUCAAAGAGUGCGUAAUAGCUCACUAGUCGAGAGGUUCUGCGCCGAAAAUGUCCGGGGCUAAACACAACACCGAAGCUAAGGAAUUAGAAAUAAUUGGUAGAGGAGCAUCCUUACAAGCGUAGAAGUCAUACUGAAAAGGGUGAUGGAGAAGUAAGGAGAGAGAAUGCCGGAAUGAGUAGCGAGAAUAAGGUGAGAAUCCUUAUGGCCGAAUAUCCAAGGAUUCCAGGGUAAAGCUGAUCUGCCCUGGGUAAGUCGGGGCCUAAGGCGAGGCUGAAAAGCGUAGUCGAUGGACAGCAGGUGAAGAUUCCUGCACCUUAUAUAAUCAGAACUGUGGGGACACAGAAACGAAACCGAACCUAGGAAAGCAAAAACUAGGACAAGCGAGGUAUCAGUAUGAUAGGAAAAACCGUCAUGCAAUGAGAAGACGUAAUGUGGAGCGAACUAAAGUAGCGAAGUCGGGAAAGGAGCUGUCAAGAAAAGCCACUAUAGUAUUAUAUAAGCCCGUACCGUAAACCGACACAGGUGGAUGAGGAGAGAAUCCUAAGGCCGACGGAAGAAGUAUUGUUAAGGAACUCGGCAAAAUGACCCCGUAACUUCGGGAGAAGGGGUGCCUGCAUUAGCAGGUCGCAGAAAACAGGUCCAAGCAACUGUUUAACAAAAACACAGGUCUAUGCGAAACCGAAAGGUGAGGUAUAUGGGCUGACGCCUGCCCGGUGCCGGAAGGUUAAGAGGAGAAGUCAGGAAACGAAGCUUUGAAUUUAAGCCCCGGUAAACGGCGGCCGUAACUAUAACGGUCCUAAGGUAGCGAAAUUCCUUGUCGGGUAAGUUCCGACCCGCACGAAAGGCGUAAUGAUUUGGACGCUGUCUCAACAAUACAUCCGGUGAAAUUGAAGUACCAGUGAAGAUGCUGGUUACCUGCGCCAGGACGGAAAGACCCCAUGGAGCUUUACUCCAGUUUGGUACUGGGAUUCGAUGAUACUCGUACAGGAUAGGUGGGAGACGUAGAAC
rnacentral:rRNA from 1 species